rnacentral:snoRNA from 1 species
UGAGCUAUGAGGAGAAUAACAUUAUUGUGAUUAUAUAUGAUCCACGUAUACGCUAUUCUGAGCCACAA